UGGAAAGAAAGAAAUGGAGCCUCUAG
rnacentral:piRNA from 1 species